rnacentral:rRNA from 1 species
AGCAGCCGCGGUAAUUCCAGCUCCAAUAGCGUAUAUUAAAGUUGUUGCAGUUAAAAGCUCGUAGUUGAAUUUCGGGAUUGGCGUGUCGGUCGUGCCUUAAGGGGUAUGAACUGGCGUCGUCGAUUUCUCACCUUCUGGAGAAACUCGAUGCCCUUAAUUGGGUGUCGUGCGGAACCAGGACCUUUACCUUGAAAAAUUAGAGUGUUAAAGCAGGCAUUUUUGCUCGAAUACAUUAGCAUGGAAUAAUAAAAUAGGACGGUUGGUUCUAUUUUGUUGGUUUCUAGGAUCACCGUAAUGAUUAAUAGGGAUAGUUGGGGGCAUUAGUAUUCAAUUGUCAGAGGUGAAAGUUCUUGGAUUUAUUGAAGACUAACUACUGCGAAAGCAUUUGCCAGGAUGUUUUCAUUAAUCAAGAACGAAAGUUAGGGGAUCGAAGACGAUCAGAUACCGUCGUAGUCUUAACCAUAAACUAUGCCGACUAGGAAUCAGACGAUGUUAAUUUUUUAAUGACUCGUUUGGCACC